GGGCCCGUAGCUCAGCGGUAGAGCGGUCGGCUCAUAACCGAUAGGUUGCUGGUUCGACACCAGCCGGGCCCACCA
rnacentral:tRNA from 3 species